GUGGGGAAUCUUGCGCAAUGGGCGAAAGCCUGACGCAGCCAUGCCGCGUGGAUGAUGAAGGUCUUAGGAUUGUAAAAUCCUUUCACCGGUGAAGAUAAUGACUGUAGCCGGAGAAGAAGCCCCGGCUAACUUCAUGCCAGCAGCCGCGGUAAUACGAAGGGGGCUAGCGUUGCUCGGAUUUACUGGGCGUAAAGGGCGCGUAGGCGGACAUUUACGUCAGGGGUGAAAUCCCGGGGCUCAACCUCGGAACUGCCGUUGAUACUGGGUGUCUUGAGUAUGAGAGAGGUGUGUGGAACUCCGAGUGUAGAGGUGAAAUUCGUAGAUAUUCGGAAGAACACCAGUGGCGAAGGCGACACACUGGCUCAUUACUGACGCUGAGGCGCGAAAGCGUGGGGAGCAAACAGGAUUAGAAACCCCUGUAGUCC
rnacentral:rRNA from 1 species